rnacentral:lncRNA from 1 species
UCAAUCUUUUUCUUUCUCUCAACCUCUUAGCAACCAACUUUUCUUCUUCGCAACUUAAAUACAAUCAAUCAUGUAAUGUGAAUGCUCCCAACUUUAAGGCAAUGGUCAAAAUUCAACCAUAAAUCAUGGUUAUUGUUCAAGAAAAAUAUUAUAAUCCAUACAAAAAUGAGUUCAACACCAACACGGAUUCUAACAUAAGGCUCAAGUGGUUGUGCUCACAAUCAAC